GCAUACAAGAAGCCCAACAUGAAAAUUGCGGCAUAUAUAAAUGUAACGAAGAACGACAGACAGUUUUACCCUUGAAAAAGGCCAAAUAAACAAGGCCGAAACGUCGGGCAAUACAAAACUAGUCGUUUUGAAUUUCCCCAGACUGAGAAAGCCAGUUAAAAUAUUCAACAAAUU